GGUACCGCCUGCCCAGUGACUAUUUAAACGGCCGCGGUAUCCUAACCGUGCAAAGGUAGCAUAAUCACUUGUCCUCUAAAUAAGGACUGGAAUGAACGGCUAAAUGAGGACUAAACUGUCUCUUGUGGUCCACCAAUGAAAUUGAUCUCCCAGUACAAAAGCUGGGAUAAACCCAUAAGACGAGAAGACCCUGUGGAGCUUUUAAAACUAAGCCCAUAUAACAUGUCCUCUUGAGUUUUUAGUUGGGGCGACUUUGGAGCACAAAAAAACCUCCAUAAAUGAUAAACACAUCCUAUUAAGAUCAACACACCAAAACAACCAUACAAGACCCAGCAACUACCUCUGUUGUCUGACUAAUGAACCAAGUUACCCCAGGGAUAACAGCGCUAUUCCCCUCUAGAGUCCCUAUCGACAGGGGAGUUUACGACCUCGAUGUUGGAUCAGGACACCCCAAUGGUGCAGCCGCCAUAAAAGGUUCGUUUGUUCAACGAUUAAAGUCCUA
rnacentral:rRNA from 1 species